CCCUCCAUAGCUCAAUGGUAGAGCAAUCGCCUUUUAAGCGAGAGACCCAGGAUCGUUACCUGGUGGGGGGA
rnacentral:tRNA from 2 species